rnacentral:rRNA from 1 species
GACGAACGCUGGCGGCGUGCUUAACACAUGCAAGUCGAGCGAGACCCGCCUUUCGGGGUGGUGUUCUAGCGGCGAACGGGUGAGUAACACGUGGGCAACCUGCCCUCAGCUCUGGGAUAACUCCAAGAAAUUGGGGCUAAUACCGGAUAUGACUGCUGACCGCAUGUCUGGUGGUGGAAAGAUUUUAUCGGCUGGGGAUGGGCCCGCGGCCUAUCAGCUUGUUGGUGGGGUA